GUCUUGUUGAUUAUAAUUUCAAGUCUGACCUGCCCAGUGAGUUAUUUUAACGGCCGCGGUAUUUUGACCGUGCAAAGGUAGCAUAAUCACUAGUUUUUUAAUUGAAAGCUUGAAUGAAAGGUUUGAUGAAAAAAAGACUGUCUCUGUUAAAAUUUAUUAGAAUUUUAUUUUUAAGUUAAAAAGCUUAGAUUUGAAUAGAAGACGAGAAGACCCUAUAGAGUUUUAUAUUUUUAGAGUAAAGAUAUUUAAGGAUAAAAAAAUUUUUUUAUUUAUAAAAAUAUUUUGUUGGGGUGAUAAAAAAAUUAGAAAAACUUUUUUUUUAUUAAUACAUUUAUUUAUGAGUAAGUGAUCCUAAUAUUUAGAUUAUAAGAUUAAAUUACCUUAGGGAUAACAGCGUAAUUUUUUUUAGAGUUCUUAUCGAAAAAAAAGAUUGCGACCUCGAUGUUGGAUUAAAAUUAAUUGUUGGUGAAGAAGCUAAUAAAUUAGGUCUGUUCGACCUUUAAAAUUUUACAUGAUCUGAGUUUAAACCGGUGUGAG
rnacentral:rRNA from 1 species